rnacentral:rRNA from 1 species
UACGGGGGGGGCAAGCGUUGUUCGGAAUUACUGGGCGUAAAGAGCGUGUAGGCGGCCAGACAGGUCCGUUGUGAAAACUCGAGGCUCAACCUCGAGAUGUCGAUGGAAACCGUCUGGCUAGAGUCCGGAAGAGGAGUGUGGAAUUCCUGGUGUAGCGGUGAAAUGCGCAGAUAUCAGGAAGAACACCUAUGGCGAAGGCAGCACUCUGGGACGGUACUGACGCUGAGACGCGAAAGCGUGGGGAGCGAACAGG